UACAGAGGAGCCAAGCGUUGUCCGGAUUGACUGGGCGUAAAGCGUGCGCAGGCGGCUGCUCAAGUCAGGGGUGAAAGCCCAGAGCUCAACUCUGGAAUUGCCUUUGAGACUGAGUGGCUUGAGUACGGGAGAGGUGAGUGGAAUUCCCAGUGUAGAGGUGAAAUUCGUAGAUAUUGGGAAGAACACCGGUGGCGAAGGCGGCUCACUGGCCCGUAACUGACGCUCAUGCACGACAGCGUGGGGAUCAAACAGG
rnacentral:rRNA from 1 species